UGUGUUGGCUGCUGGCUGCUGGCGGCUGGCGGAGUUGUUGCCGUAGUUGUUGUCGCAACAAUAUCAGCGAUUUCAAUCAAAUUUGCUCAUGACAGAGAUACAACUCAACAAAAGGACAUUGCGAAAAUGUGCAACAUUUGUUGUUUGUCGGCUGUUGUGACUUUUUUACACAGCAUAAAGAUUUGUUUUGUCAAAUCUACAAAGUCAAAUGCUUCUUACAGACUAGUUAAUUAAAAAUAGAAAAUAGUUGGAGCUUAAGUCUAUCCGAACUUGCACUUGCAUUUUGCAGUGAAACGAGGACCACAGUUUGAGAAGCACUGCUUAAUAUUUUGGUAGCCGAACAUAAAUACGAGCAGAGGGGAGAUUGUCCGCUGAAAUAGACCGAGCGAUAGACAAUUUUUGCAACUGGCUGGCGAUGUGGCGAAAUUUCCAGUGAAAUGUGUAAAUAUUUGUAUAUAGAUAUAAGGUAUGUACAUUUGUAUAUAGCGUUGCAUGUAUGUCCGACUUUAAAACAUAUUUGCAAAAUUUUGUAUUACUCAGCCACUGGGGUGCUUGGCUUGCAUGUUGCAAGCAUAACGCAGUGUGCCACAUGGGGUGUUGAGAAAUUAAAUGGAAUAAAAAUAUUAUGCGCACAGCAACAACAAAA